AUGUUAACUGGAACAAGAUGCAGGACUGAGUGCUUCUCUAAGGAAAGAAGGAGGAAACAGCAGUGUUGACCUGCCCUGGAGUCCACCCUCACCUCAGCCCUGCUCCGCAUCCCUCGUGCUCCUGGGUCACCGCCAACCGCACCGAAACCCCAGGGCUCACUCACUCUUGUGCUUCUGGGUUAUCUUUAGCUGCAAUGAAAAGUCCAAUCAAGGGCUGGUGAGAUGGCUCAGUGGGUAAGAGCACCCGACUGCUCUUCCGAAGGUCCAAAGUUCAAAUCCCAGCAACCACAUGGUGGCUCACAACCAUCCGUAAUGAGAUCUGACGCCCUCUUCUGGAGUGUCUGAAGACAGCUACAGUGUACUUACAUAUAAUCAAAAUAAAUAAAUCUAAAAAAAAAAAAAAAGUCCAAUCAACACAAAGAA
rnacentral:lncRNA from 1 species